AUAUUGUUACAAAAUCUGUCUAAAAUCUGUUGUAGUGAGCAUUUCUCCUUUGUCGCGAUAAUCCAUCCCACCAUACAGGUGUGUAUCAAGAUGCUGAUUAGACAGCAUGAUUAUUGCACAGGUGUGCCAUAGGCUGGCCACAAUAAAAGGCCACUCUGAAAUGUGCAGUUUUAUCACACAACACAAUGCCACAAGUUCUGAGGGAGCGUGCAAUUGUCUCCCAAGGUGUGUCAGACAAUUUGGCAGUACAUCCAACCAGCCUCACGUGUAACCACACCAGCCCAGGACCUCCACAUCCAGCAUGUUCACCUCCAAGAUUGUCUGAGACCAGCCAGCCGGACAGCUGCUGCAACAAUCGAAAUGUGCCUUGUACGUACAGGAUCCAGACGAGACUGUUGUGCAGGUCCGGGUCUACAGACUCCAUGUCGUCCAGGGUGAUGGGUUUACCUAGCAGUUGUUUGUAGAAGGGUAGUGUAAAGCCU